CAGGGAAUACAAUCUCUAUGUCUAUCAAGAAUGGGAAGAUACCAUGAAAGAAUAUGCCGAUUGGAGAGAAACAAUAGAAGCCUUCACAAAGAACUGAGUUCUCUAAAGAAAAAGGUUUCUGCACUUGAGCGAGGUCAUCGUAGCUCAGGAUCAGAGCAAUCAGGAGAUGACAAGAAGAAUUAGCCAGUGUUAUGUCAGCUUGAAGAAUGUUUAAGCAAUAUUUUAGUUUGUUUCAGAAAGAAAAAAAAUGUAUGUUUAAAAAUAACGUAAUGGAAGGAAAGAUUACAAUUGACAACUCUCACAUGUCAAUUAUUUCCAGUGCUUUAUGAAUCAUGUUGAAGUUGUUUGCAAUGUGGAUAAUAAUUUCUCAUGAACAGCAAAAGCAAGAUCUUAUUUUCAUUUUUUUCUAAUCACUGUGUGGUUCUAAUGUCAUGCAAAAUUGGAAUUUUGAAUCAGUGACAAGAUUUUUGUUCCUUGGUGUUGGGAAGUCUGUGUUAUUUGUUUCUGAUAAAUAAAUCUGUUUUCAAUGUUAAAAAAUAA